rnacentral:sRNA from 1 species
AGCAGAAGAAGAAGAAGAGA